UGGAAGUAAAAGUCGUAACAAGGUUUCCGUAGGUGAACCUGCGGAAGGAUCAUUAUUGAAAAACUAUUCUUAGUUUUUUACACCCCUUUGUUUACCUACCCUGUUGCUUCCACUGGACUGUGCUUCACCUCACAACGAGGUGGGCCCUUUGGCUUGUUGUUAACAGCACUUGCCCCGGAGUUGCCAGUGAAUGGACUAUAAACCAAAACUUGUUAAAAACAAAUGUCUGAUUUUUCUYCUUAAAUGAAAUAAAACUUUCAACAACGGAUCUCUAGGCUCUUGCAUCGAUGAAGAACGCAGUGAAAUGCGAUAAGUAAUGUGAAUUGCAGAAUCUCGUGAAUCAUCGAAUCUUUGAACGCACAUUGCGCCCUAUGGUAUUCCGUAGGGCAUGCCUGUCUGAGCGUCAGCUCCCCCCCACUCAAGCAUCUUUGUGAAGCUUGGAUUACUUUGAAGAAGUGGCCUUCUUGCAAGGCUGCUCUUCAGAAAUUCAUCGGCAGUAUGGUUUGUCUCUCAACCAGACGUAAUAAUAAUAAAACCGUCUAUUGGGGAAUCAUUGUACUUGCCCAAACACACCCAUCUUUAACUGGGUGACCUCAGAUCAGGUAGGGAUACCCGCUGAACUUAAGCAUAUCAAUAA
rnacentral:misc_RNA from 1 species